CAAGGUUGACCUGACGGCGGACA
rnacentral:siRNA from 1 species